rnacentral:rRNA from 1 species
CAGCCGCCGCGGUAAUACGAGGGGGGCAAGCGUUGUUCGGAUUUAUUGGGCGUAAAGGGUGCGUAGGCGGGUUGGCAAGUCUUGUGUGAAAUCUUCGGGCUCAACCCGAAGCCUGCACGAGAAACUACCGGGCUUGAGUAUUGGAGAGGUGAGUGGAAUUUCCGGUGUAGCGGUGAAAUGCGUAGAUAUCGGAAGGAACACCUGUGGCGAAAGCGGCUCACUGGACCAUAACUGACGCUGAUGCACGAAAGCUAGGGGAGCAAACAGGAUUAGAUACCCGCGUAGUCCCUGUCUCUUAUAC